GACUCGGUGGCGGAUGGCCUCCCGCACUCACUUCGUGCUGGCGAUCACAUGCAGCGGGAGGUGCCUGUUCGACCCAGGCCCGAGUCA